rnacentral:rRNA from 1 species
AGUCAAUAGAUACCCGGGUAGUCCAUGCCGUAAACGAUGAUUGCUAGGUGUGGGGGGUCUGACCCCUUCCGUGCCGGAGUUAAACACAAAUAAGUAAUCCACCUGGGGAGUACGGCCGCAAGGUUGAAACUCAAAGGAAUUGACGGGGGCCCGCACAAGCAGUGGAGUAUGUGGUUUAAUUCGAAAGCAACGCGAAGAACCUUACCAGGUCUUGACAUCCACCGAAUCCUGUAGAGAUACGGGAGUGCCCUUCGGGGAACGGUGAGACAGGUGGUGCAUGGUUGUCGUCAGCUCGUGUCGUGAGAUGUUGGGUUAAGUCCCGCAACGAGCGCAACCCUUGUGAAUAGUUGCUACGAAAGAGCACUCUAUUCAGACCGCCGUUGACAAAACGGAGGAAGGUGGGGAUGACGUCAAAUCAUCAUGCCCCUUAUGACCUGGGCUACACACGUACUACAAUGGCCGUUAACAGAGGGAUGCAAUACCGCGAGGUGGAGCGAACCCUAAAAACGGUCUCAGUUCAGAUUGCAGGCUGAAACUCGCCUGC